rnacentral:lncRNA from 1 species
GGCUGCGUGAGGGAGGAGGGCCCAGUUGUGUCUGUACCAGAAAUGAGGAGUGAUGCCAAGCCUAGGCCUGGCCCAGCCUUAGCUUCUGCAAUGCAACCUAUGUAAUCACACCCAUUUUACAAGGAGGAAACUGGGGCCAUACAACAGGUUCAUCAUGCCUAGUGGCGUAUAAGAAGACCCCGCCACCGGUCCCUCCACGCACCACUUCAAAGCCGUUCAUCUCAGUCACAGUCCAGAGCAGUACUGAGUCUGCCCAGGACACCUACCUGGACAGCCAGGACCACAAGAGCGAGGUGACUAGCCAGUCGGGCCUGAGCAACUCGUCGGACAGCCUGGACAGCAGUACCCGACCGCCCAGCGUGACACGGGGUGGAGUCGCCCCAGCCCCUGAGGCCCCAGAGCCACCCCCAAAACAUGCAGCUCUGAAAAGUGAACAAGGGACGCUGACCAGCUCUGAGUCCCACCCCGAGGCCGCCCCCAAAAGGAAACUGUCAUCGAUAGGAAUACAAGUUGACUGCAUUCAGCCAGUGCCAAAAGAGGAGCCCAGUCCCGCUACCAAAUUCCAGUCCAUCGGGGUUCAGGUAGAGGACGACUGGCGAAGCA